UUGCAGUGAUGUAAUAAUACGGAUCAGUGGUUUCUAAUUCAGAUAAAUGCGACGUUGAACGACUGCUUAAAAGAAAUGUUUGAAUUUCUCAGCGCCCACUUUGAUCGAACAUAUAUCUGUCUCUAACCAAGGGCACCUCUUUUGCGUUCCAAGUUGUCUCUUUGAUUUUUCGUUCCGCAGACCAACGAACAAUGUGCAUUUCUCACGAUGCAUCCAGCGUGCAUGACAUUAGGCGGGCGCCAAAGAAGCCAGCGCAGUACAUGGCCGAAUACAUUGCCACGUGUCUUCAGAAGCCGGUGACGACCAACGAACAAUGCGCAUUUCUCACGAUGCAUCCAGCGUGCAUGACCUUAGGCGGGCGCCAAAGAAGCCAGCGCAGUACAUGGCCGAAUACAUUGCCUGGUGCCUUCGGAAGCCGGUGACGGUAAGUGUGCUCUUAGCGGUGACGACACCAACGUGUGGGGCUUCGCGUACGUUUUACCUGAUAAUAAAGCCAAGAUUUGUCAAUGUGUACUUCAUUUGCAGUGACGUAAUAAUUACUGAUCAGUGGUUUCUAAUUCAGACAAAUGCGACGUUGAACGACUGCUUAAAAGAAAUGUUUGAAUUUCUCAGCGCCCACUUUGAUCGAACAUAUAUCUGUCUCUAACCAAGGGCACCUCUUUUGCGUUCCAAGUUGUCUCUUUGAUUUUUCGUUCCGCAGACCAACGAACAAUGCGCAUUUCUCACGAUGCAUCCAGCGUGCAUGACAUUAGGCGGGCGCCAAAGAAGCCAGCGCAGUACAUGGCCGAAUACAUUGCCACGUGUCUUCAGAAGCCGGUGACGACCAACGAACAAUGCGCAUUUCUCACGAUGCAUCCAGCGUGCAUGACCUUAGGCGGGCGCCAAAGAAGCCAGCGCAGUACAUGGCCGAAUACAUUGCCUGGUGCCUUCGGAAGCCGGUGACGACCAACGAACAAUGCGCAUUUCUCACGAUGCAUCCAGCGUGCAUGACAUUAGGCGGGCGCCAAAGAAGCCAGCGCAGUACAUGGCCGAAUACAUUGCCACGUGUCUUCAGAAGCCGGUGACGACCAACGAACAAUGCGCAUUUCUCACGAUGCAUCCAGCGUGCAUGACCUUAGGCGGGCGCCAAAGAAGCCAGCGCAGUACAUGGCCGAAUACAUUGCCACGUGUCUUCAGAAGCCGGUGACGACCAACGAACAAUGCGCAUUUCUCACGAUGCAUCCAGCGUGCAUGACCUUAGGCGGGCGCCAAAGAAGCCAGCGCAGUACAUGGCCGAAUACAUUGCCUGGUGCCUUCGGAAGCCGGUGACGGUAAGUGUGCUCUUAGCGGUGACGACACCAACGUGUGGGGCUUCGCGUACGUUUUACCUGAUAAUAAAGCCAAGAUUUGUCAAUGUGUACUUCAUUUGCAGUGACGUAAUAAUUACUGAUCAGUGGUUUCUAAUUCAGACAAAUGCGACGUUGAACGACUGCUUAAAAGAAAUGUUUGAAUUUCUCAGCGCCCACUUUGAUCGAACAUAUAUCUGUCUCUAACCAAGGGCACCUCUUUUGCGUUCCAAGUUGUCUCUUUGAUUUUUCGUUCCGCAGACCAACGAACAAUGCGCAUUUCUCACGAUGCAUCCAGCGUGCAUGACAUUAGGCGGGCGCCAAAGAAGCCAGCGCAGUACAUGGCCGAAUACAUUGCCACGUGUCUUCAGAAGCCGGUGACGACCAACGAACAAUGCGCAUUUCUCACGAUGCAUCCAGCGUGCAUGACCUUAGGCGGGCGCCAAAGAAGCCAGCGCAGUACAUGGCCGAAUACAUUGCCUGGUGCCUUCGGAAGCCGGUGACGACCAACGAACAAUGCGCAUUUCUCACGAUGCAUCCAGCGUGCAUGACAUUAGGCGGGCGCCAAAGAAGCCAGCGCAGUACAUGGCCGAAUACAUUGCCACGUGUCUUCAGAAGCCGGUGACGACCAACGAACAAUGCGCAUUUCUCACGAUGCAUCCAGCGUGCAUGACCUUAGGCGGGCGCCAAAGAAGCCAGCGCAGUACAUGGCCGAAUACAUUGCCUGGUGCCUUCGGAAGCCGGUGACGAAACAGUUACGUGUGACCUGGCAGUGCGGCGACUCCCAAUUGUGACCAGCCCGCCGUGGAUGAUGCUCCCGAUGCCUCGUCAGGUCUCAAGGUUCCGGAUAACACGAGCUUCCUGCAUUACCAGGCCGCUACGUUGCAAUCUAUUCUCCGGGAACCUCCUCCGCGGUCAUGCGGUCUAGUGCGGGGCCUUUAACAUCGUGACGCAGCAGUUGCCUCCGGCUACUGAAGAUCGCCUUCUGCCUCCCAUCAACCCGAACCACGCGAGGGAUAUCCGGGAGUUGUACCGGUGUAACCGGAGGCGCGCGGUCCGUCUCAUCCUCGAGGGCCCCUCCCGACAACGUCCCAUCCCACUAGACGCCCUGGAGGCUCAUUUCACCGACAUCUGGACGCAGAGGUUCCUCACCAGCACCUCGAUUUUUUUUCGGGAGGGUCCUGCUCCCGAGGAGGUCAACCUGGAUCCAUGCACGGCUGAGCAGGUCACCUACCGGUUCCGGUGCUCUGAGGACACUGCGCCCAGGGAAGACCGCAUCUCUUGCGAACGCUGGAAUGCGGUAGAUCCGGAACAGAAGUUCCUCGCCGCGUUUUUCAAUUUCUGCCUGCUUCAUCACCGCACACCAGAGAGCAAGAGGACGUCAAUGAAGGUCCUAAUAUUCUAGAAAUGCGACGAGUCUCCUCCCCGCAACUAGUGCCGGCUCAUUGCUCUUGGCAAUAUUGCUGCCAAGCUAUAUGCCAAGUCCAUUGGAAGGCGGUCGCAAGAGUGGCUGGUAAUACGCAACAUCCUCUCCCACUGCCAAAAGGGGUUCCUCCCACAUGACGGCAUCAUUGAGCAUAACUAUGUGCUCCGGGAUCGAUUUGAAUAGGCCGGCAGCGGUGGCAGCAAAAUGUGCGUUGCCUUCCUGGAUUUCACCAACGCCAAUGGAUCGAUUCCCUACCAGGAGUCGCUGGAUGUCCCUCGUGGAGGCAGUGCAGGUAACUGUUUCGUGGGGAUCGUUUCCGAUCUGUACAACCGUACGCAGAUCAUGGCUGCUGACUGCACCACCGCGCCCAUUCUCAUCCUGGUCGGGAUUCAUCAGGGCCGUCCGCUGAGUAGCCUGCUUUUAUCGGCCCCAUUAUUUGUGACAUCUACCGUCGAUAUCGUCCUCAUAACAUCUUGGCCUACGCUGAUGACCUCAACCCUAUGGCGGCGAGGCCAGGGGCCUUGCAGGCUUGCAUUCUCCGUGUUGAGGCUCUGGCGUCGGAGCUGGGUCGGUCUCUUAUCCUCCAAGUACCGCUCUCUCCACCUCAGGGGCCACUAACGGGCAGGGACCAGAUAUUUUUCCUCCAUUGUUGCAGGUUCUACCAUCCCUGCUAUGGCGAACUUCGAUGUGCAGUGGUUUCUGGGCCGGCCAGUGGGUUUACGUGUACUCGCUUGGAUGCCGCACGGACUUUCGUCUUCCCAGGGCGGAACUUAAUGAUGAGGUACGGGACCCUGAAAAAAGGCAACUGGCAGCGACUCAAAGAUGCUCUGCGUCCUCUCCUGAAAAGGACGCUAUAUCUACCUUGCAACGCAUCGAAUGAGUACUUAUACGGAAGCUCACAAUGUGGGGCUGCAGCAAUCCCAGUCGCUGUUGAAUUAAGUCACAUAUGCCGCCCCGGCAACGCUUUCAAGUUGCCGACAUUUAGGGAUCUUGAGCUCCGUAAGAUGGCAUCUCAAGACCUGUUUGAGGUGGCGUCCAAACGUCAUUGCCGGCUGGCGGUGCAACAGGACGUCGAAGACGACCUCAGCGUGUCCACAGAGUGUGAUUUUCGGGCGCCUGCGUAAAAGCUUCGGCCCUUUUGGACUGAGGCAUGGAAGGAGUCUCGCCGCAGGAUGUAUUUGUGAGCUGCACCUUGAUGGAGUCCGGAUCAUAUGCAGUAUCUGCGGUGACCACACACUCAUCCCUGCCCACCGCAGGAAGGUCAUCCGCACACUCCGAGGCAUUCGAUCGGCUUACAUGGAUGCAGCUCUUUACGACAAACCGAACCAAGGCAAGGUGUUGUAGUGCAUCACCUACGACCCCGCGAGCUCCCACUUCAUGCACACCGGGUCUGUUACCCGGUUUGCAAACUGGCGUUUCGUACAAAAAGCCAGGCUCUACCUACUACCUCUAGAGCGAUCCGCCAUGUGGGCGACAGGCCGCGACCAGCGCAGCACGGCCUUUGGGUGCAUCAAGAAGACGCUGCCCCAUGUCCUCUGUCACUGCAUGGCAAACAGCGCUAUUUACACUGCUCGCCGCAAGAAGAUCGUGGCCCUCGACGGUACGAUCUCGGAAUACGGGCCCGUGCAUCAACACCUUGCACUACGGUACAGGCGUUGGUGCCAUUGCACCCAGGACCCAAAAACUACCCGUCAAUGCGCAAACUUUGCUCUCGAUCCUCUCUAAAACUCUUUCGAAAAGCUGGUCGUGAGUGAAGAUGUAUAUCAGUAUCAGAUGAGAUUUAUCAUCACUGCGUGGCCUAUUUCUAGCCCUGUGGACACCAGAAACGGGGAUUGGACUUGUGUUAUUGCAUACUUUUGCUCCUCAUUUUUCUGUCAUUUUUGUUCCUCGCCACUUUGUUUCCUAUACAGCGAAUUACGGCAGAAAAAUGCUUGUCUUUGGUGUCACCAAAAGUGUCCUUAUAAAACAAUCGAAUAAAAAACUUACCUGCCUAACGUA